rnacentral:rRNA from 1 species
GUACACUCCUACGGGAGGCAGCAGUGGGGAAUUUUGGACAAUGGGCGAAAGCCUGAUCCAGCAAUGCCGCGUGAGUGAAGAAGGCCUUCGGGUUGUAAAGCUCUUUUGUCAGGGAAGAAACGGUGAAAGCUAAUAUCUUUUGCUAAUGACGGUACCUGAAGAAUAAGCACCGGCUAACUACGUGCCAGCAGCCGCGGUAAUACGUAGGGUGCAAGCGUUAAUCGGAAUUACUGGGCGUAAAGCGUGCGCAGGCGGUUUUGUAAGUCUGAUGUGAAAUCCCCGGGCUCAACCUGGGAAUUGCAUUGGAGACUGCAAGGCUAGAAUCUGGCAGAGGGGGGUAGAAUUCCACGUGUAGCAGUGAAAUGCGUAGAUAUGUGGAGGAACACCGAUGGCGAAGGCAGCCCCCUGGGUCAAGAUUGACGCUCAUGCACGAAAGCGUGGGGAGCAAACGGGAUUAGAUACCCGUGUAGUCCCAUGA